rnacentral:rRNA from 1 species
GAUCAUGGCUCAGGAUGAACGCUAGCUACAGGCUUAACACAUGCAAGUCGAGGGGCAGCAUCAUCAAAGCUUGCUUUGAUGGAUGGCGACCGGCGCGCGGGUGAGUAACACGUAUCCAACCUGCCGACAACACUGGGAUAGCCUUUCGAAAGAAAGAUUAAUACCGGAUGGCAUAGUUUUCCCGCAUGGGAUGACUAUUAAAGAAUUUCGGUUGUCGAUGGGGAUGCGUUCCA